AGAUAAGUCCCUUGAACAUUUCAUAUAAUAAUGGUUUGGUGAUGAUCAACUGCUUUAACUUGACUUUAUCUGGGAAGCACAUUAUCUACCCUUCCAUUAUAAAUAAUAGCUUUCCUGGACAGAGUAAUCCUUGAUUGUUAAUUCUAAUAGCAAG